rnacentral:lncRNA from 10 species
AUUUAACAGACAAGGACAUUGAGGCUCAGUAAGGUGAGAUGACUUGCUCCAGAUCACACAGGGUUGAAGCUGAAAUUUUAAUCUAGAGUCCAGUUCCAGAAUCUGUGCUUAUAAACUGUGCUGUGCUGUAUUUGCUUUAAGAAUAUAAGGGUCAUUUCCUGCUUGAAUAAUCAAGGAAGGCAUGAUGGAAAAGUUAGGGGCAUCAUAAAACCCAAAGACAAUUCUGAUCAUAUUUUUACUUCAACACUUCUACAGGAAAGAAAGCCUUCCCAUCACUAAUAGUGAGUUCUCUGGCAGCAAGCCUCAGUCAUUGCAGCAGGAAUACUGCUUAAAUAUUAUACUGGUAUGUGUGGGGUAAUUUGAAGUCUACCAUCCAUCACCAUCACCACCAAACCUAAUGUAUGAGUUGCCUAUUCCUUCCCGGGAUAGCACACUGCACUACUGAGGAUCACUGUUCUAUGGAAGUAGUUUUCAAACUUGAGCAUGCAUAAAAAGAAGAGCGAAGAGGCUUGUUAAAUACAGCUCUCUUUCAGCAGGUCUGGGGUACUUACUACUAAUGAGCAGUUUUUAGGAAGCAUCCUAGAUGAUUCCGUGUAUCCAGGUGGGCCACAGAAACAUUUGCAAAAACAUUACAUCGGAGCCAUUGUUGACUAUCCCUAAUCUGUAAGAAGCCAAUAGUCAUCGAGACCCAAUGGAGCAAUGCAGCAGAAUGGGGGAAGCCCAGGGGGCAGAGUGAGGGCAUCACCAGGUGAGGAAAAGCAAGAUGGUAAGGCAGAAGGGAAUGGGGAAACCCAAACAAUGAAGAAAUAGAUAUCAUCUAUAUAUCUAUAUCUUUCAAUUUAUCUAUAUAACCAGCCAAAAAAUAGUUAUUAUUUUCAUACAUCUUAGUAUUUUAUUUUCCUAAGGACUAUCCUCAUGAAAUAUAUACAUACAUUAUACAUUUACACAUAUGCAUAUACAUAUUUGAGAAUACACACACUUUGGCUUCUUAGGCCAUCUUAGCUUUAUUUUAAAUAUAAAGAAACUGGUGCUGAUUCUGCAUAUCAUAUAUAUUUGACUAUACUUCUAUAAAGCAGAAGUCAAGAGCCAUGAUUAUUGUGCAACAGUAUCUGCACAAUUAGAAUAUUAGCAAUAGCACAGUUUUACUUUUGUUUUACAGUUUUCGAACUAUAAAUCAAGUAUGAAUGGCUGAUGGAAAGCCGAGGCUAGCAAAUAGAUGAUAAACCAUGUUACCAUGGGAGGGCAGUGAUUGCAUUUGCAACCCAUUCUUGCCAAAGAGAAAUUCGGAAGCACACUUCAAGGAACUAAGUUCAGUGAUAAUCACACUUGAUUGAUUUUCAGUACUGUCACAGUUUGAGAACUAUUUAUUGCCCUGAUUUGCUCUUUUCUCUGCCCUGUAUUAAAGAUCUUGCAUGACA